UGCAUCAGCCGGGCAAUCGAACCCGGGCCGCCCGCAUGGCAGGCGAGCAUUCUACCACUGAACCACCGAUGC
rnacentral:tRNA from 1 species